GGAGUAAUAUGAUUAUAUUUAAACAUUUGCAGUUCAAUUGCAAAAAAGUCUAUUUAGACUUACUCCA
rnacentral:tRNA from 1 species